GCUGAAGAACGUAGCGAAAUGCGAUAAGUAAUGUGAAUUGCAGAAUUCAGUGAAUCAUCGAAUCUUUGAACGCACCUUGCGCUCCUUGGCAUUCCGAGGAGCAUGCCUGUUUGAGUGUCAUUAAAUUCUCAAUACCUGUCUGCUUUUUUGAUAGGUAUUGGAUUUUGGGGGUUGCAGGCUGUUUCAAAUAAAUAGCCUUGCUCUCCUUGAAUGUAUUAGUGGAGAAAAGCCAUUGAACUCCAUUGGUGUGAUAAAACCUAUCAAUGCCAGGAGCAAUAUCACUAGUUCUCUCUGCUGUCUAACUGUGACUGUCUGUAUUAAUUAGUAUGGAUGGGGACAACUUGACCAACUUGACCUCAAAUCAGGUAGGACUACCCGCUGAACUUAAGCAUAUCAAUAAGCGGAGGA
rnacentral:misc_RNA from 1 species